rnacentral:rRNA from 1 species
CCUCGGAUCAGGUAGGGAUACCCGCUGAACUUAAGCAUAUCAAUAAGCGGAGG